rnacentral:lncRNA from 1 species
GGGAAAAAAAGAUGAUCAAACUUCUGCACAGUUUGCGAGUAUGUGUUCGAAUAUGAAUGAAAGAUCAAAAAUUUCAUGAGAACUAUAAACUUCGUGGUUGUGCAGGUCAACUUUUUUAGUGUUUUUUUAGAGUUUUUUUAGAAGGAAGAAGAACCCCUUGAAAGAGCGGAGAAGUUUUGAGAGAGGUGCAAUAAAACUUCUCCACUGCAGUCCCCCGCGGAGUCCAGUUUCAUCUGAUAUAUAACAACAGUUCUACAUUUUUUCCGGUUUUUUUCUUUCAAGCGAGGUUGGAACAAGAACUGUGUUCGAUUUUUCUUAAUCUAGAGGCGAUUCCGCUAAUACAAUCUGGAAGGUCUCGAUUGUCUUCGACAAGAUCGAUCUUCUGGGACGCGAGAUCUCGGAUAUGUCCCCACAAACCGCAUGUGGGCCAAGAACUGGUCUAUGGAAGCCGUGUGGUCUAUUGCUCAUAGGAAACACAUUGAAGACAGCGACUCAUGGUACGGAAAUUGUCGCUGAAUCGUUGGUGGAGACGAGGCACACGAGCUACUUUGUUCCAGGCUCCUAUCCUCUACUUACUAUUGCUUGUUUUUGUUUGUUUCUCAGCACCUUUGCAUAGAAUAGUGCUUUAUGCAAUACUUCAAACCUCUAACACAUCCAACACCUCAUCAAACAUCCCAAGAGGGAUUGUAAUAAAAAACUCAUCCUCUUUGUCAUUGGCCUCUUGAUUAACAAAUCCCAUGCCCAAGAUCAAGGAGCUAAUUGUUCUGAUAAGAUAAAAGUAGUGGAGAGAUCAGCAUACAAGGAGUGUAUGUCUCAACUCUAGGUACAUAUACAUAAAAACUAUUGCCAUGUCGGCAUAACAACACCAAUGAGAUUUACAAGCUUGCUUACAAACUUGUGCUCCUAGAUGAUCGCAAGCCAAGAAGUGACUAAGGAGAAGAAAAAACAAAAAAAAAGAAGAAAGAGUAUAAGGUCAUAAGACUGUCCUCAAACAACAGAAUUGGAAGAAAAAUGGGGACCUUCAAGAAUUGGGGAGCACUGAAAUUCUUCUUUCAAUCAUUAUUCAGUGCUAUUGUUCCAAUAGCUUGUGUCAAUCUGUAGAUCUGCACAACUGGAAGAAACCCUCUUCUAGAAGUUGCGACAUUGUGACCAGGAUGCAAGCAAGAGGAAACCUUAUGGCACAAUGUCAUUUUGGCACCUACCAGCCAACACAAAUUCCAACUUGAUACAGACACCCUCCUUUGCAGCAAUCCUUAUUCUGCGUGCAAGGAUCUCCUGUGUCUUGGCACUUCAGACUUGGAUUGCUACCACCUUGAACUAGUUGAAUAAAGUCCCCUCCAAAGACACGCGCAGACUCAAUGCUAGCAACAAAUGUGAACAUGAGAACUGCCGCAACCACAAGAAGCUUGAAGACGCCCACGCCUGCAGCCAUGAUAAGAAGACUAACAGAGAGUGAAUGAGAGGCUAUGUGUGCAAGCAAGGAUAGCGAUGAAUCCCGUUGUUAGAACAUCGCCCUCAGUUGAUUAUAAAAUUUCAGUACAGGUCAGCUGCAGUACAGAGAGAGAGAUAUGGGGUAGAUAAUGAGAUCCGUUUGAAUAGAUGCUAUUAGGGUUCGUGAGAUGAUUCCUUCAGUGACGCAGCGCAGGCGUCUUCAUCGUGCGGCGAGGAGGCGAUCGAUGCAGCGGAAUGCGUGCUCCCGGCGCUUCUUCCAUUCAUGCGAUCGCAGCUCCUGGAGCGCUAUCCCAAGGGCAACACGCGAGGUAGGCACUGAAAGCACCUCAAGCAGAUCGUCUAGGCCGAGAAUUUCCAUCUCCUAGAGUUCCUGAUUCCAUACCAGUACCUCGUACAUUGUUUAGCCUCGUACAUUUGCAGAUGUUAACAUCGAAUCGCCUCCUUCCAUUUAUCCUUCCAAGAAAUACUGCGACGUCUCUGGAUUUGAGGUAAGGUGCUGUCUCGCCAUUUCUCCACCGUGGAAUCUCCUCUCGUUAUUUUCUCCUUGUAAAGGCACCUUACACGGAUCCUCGAACAAAGCUCAGGUAUGCAAAUGCCGAUGUCUUGAAGCGCAUCAGGUGUCUUCCCGACGAUUACGUUCAAGGCUACUUGGGUCUCUGUAGUUCUCAAGUAAACUCUCCUCCUCGACUUAUAGCACAGUUUAUAGAAUGCUACUCGCGGGGAGUAACAGCAAAGUAAGGGCCGGGAAACUGGAAGGCUGGCGUUGACAUAAAGAUCCCAGGACAGGAUGUCUCGGCUUUCGAGGUGUCUUUUCGGACGUAGGUUUCAUAGUGACGCUGAUCUAUAACAACAGUCACACGUUGUUUUUUUCUUUUCCAGCUCCACUGAUUGAAGAGGUUGCCGAGGAGCAGUAUUAUCUUUUGUCGAGGUUGGAGCAAGGAAUUCCAGAAGGACCGGCUGUGGAGGUUUUCUCUACUGUGUUGAGUUUUUCUUAAUCUAGUGAUUGACAGGGGAGGCGAUUCCUCUCGAAUACAAUCCGGAAGAUCUGAACGCGAUCGACUUCGACAAUGGAGCGAUAAUUUUCUUGACAGGUGGCAAAGGUACGGUGAGUCGUGGACAUUUUCUUACUUGUUUUCAUUGCAGAAAUCAGUGAGGCAGUGAGUCCUGGUGCUGAAAUCGUCGACGCAGAAUCGUCCAAGAAGAUGGAUACUGUGACCAAUGUGCUCUUGUCAGACUGAAAACGGUGUCCAAACCACUAAGCAUAGGUGGCGGCAUGCAACGAAGGUCCUACCACACAAGUGGUUUUCGUCCGCGGUGAUAUUCUAGUGAGCACGGCGGGGGUGAAUAGCGGCUAAAAAAUGGACGGGAAGCCUUUCGUUCUGGUCGUGGCCAUCGUUUUGCUAUGGUCUUCAUCUCCAGCAGAAUCGAAGGAUUGCUCCAGAAUUCAAAGGAAGACUUACAAAUCUCCAGCUUUUUCUCUGGAGCCGGGAGAGGUCCAAGACCGAUACUACAAGAUCGAGUUUCCCAAAGGUCAUAUUGGCGUCAAGAACUUUCAGGGAGAGAUUGUAGAUGAGCUUGGGAAUCCCAUGCCUCUGACCGAACUCUAUCUGCAUCACUGGGUGGUAUUUGGCCUCUACCUGAAGAGCUCCGAGAGAAAAGAGCUGGUCAGAGGCGGUUUCCAUGAUCGUCUAGGCUCGCCAUCCGCUAUAAUCACUGGAAACGAUGGAAUUUGUCAGCACAACGUCCAUUCACAGUUCUGGGGUCUUGGUGCCGAGACAAGGCACACGAGCUACUUUGUUCCAGGAUCCUAUGCUAUCGGCAUUGGCAACCCUCCGGAAGGCUACGAGGAGCUCUUUGUGCUCAACCUCCAUGCCAUCGACGGCAGAGGAACAUAUGAUCCCCAACUAUGCCAUGAGUGCCGCUGCAGCUUGUACAACGUAACAACAGAAAUCUCGGGACAACCUUUGAAGGAAGGCUAUAAAGGCGGUCUGCGUUGCUGCUACGAAGGGACCAAAUGCGCAGUGAAGCCGGGAUUUCAAGCACCAAAGAGGGUUCUCUACAUGCAAUAUACUGUCGAAUGGGUGGAGUGGGACGAGUGUGUCCUACCUGUUCGUGUUUAUUUGUUCGACAUCACAGACAGCAGGAAGCGAGAUCCAGUCGACCCUCAAGUUGGCUGCCAAGUUCGUUUUUCCUCAUUCUAAAAGUUUCUCUUAUGUUUCUUACGAUUGUCUUGCAGACCGAGUAUGACGUUCCUGCUUGUGACCCGUCCUCAAAUCCCGAUUGUAUUUAUCAGCUGGAGAAUCACCUGGUGAUUCCAAAAGGGGGUAGCAUUAUCUACGGAGUAGCACAUCAGCACGCUGCAGGCAUGGGCAUGAGCAUGCACGGAGAGGUAAGAAGAAGUAAAAAAAAACUCUCAUGACUGUCGAUUUGUGUGGCUUUUCCAGGAUGGUCGGCACUUGUGCUCUUCGAUUCCUCUAUACGGGAAUGGAUCAGCUCCUGGCAACGAAGAUGGCUACGUUGUUGGAAUGUCUACAUGCAUUCCCGAGCCAGGGACUCUAAUGGUCGCGAGCGGUGAGAAGCUCCACUUCUCCUCAUCGUAUAGUUCUGCCCAGGAGCACACGGGGGUCAUGGCGAUCUUCUAUCUCAUGGUGAGCGACAAUGACACUGUGUCUCUUGGAGAAGUCAAGGUACGUUUUUUACUUGUUUGUUAGAUUGAGCAAUUGCUUUUUUCUCCUCCAGGAUGUAAAAAAUAGAGUUAAUGUGAUGGCGGUCACGCUUGGGAUCGUUGCAAUGGUGGCAUUGGUGGUCAGAUUUAGCAUUUGGAACAAGAAACGAGAGUCCCAUAAAGGAUACAAUGCAUUGCUUUAGGAUUAUUUGGGGAUGGCCUGCUAUGAAAUAUAAUAAAUAUAUAUAAAGUUGGGAAAAUAAAAAAUGCAUAUUGGUGUUGUGACAAUAUAUAUAUAUGCUAUGUAAUACAUUAAUUAUAGUAAUAUAGCAUAUACUUGAGAUUAAAUUCCAUUCUUGUUUAUAAUAAAGGAAUCCCAUUAUUUUGAUAUUCCAAAUAGUGGAAGUAAAGAGCAUUGCAAUUUGUAUCCAAGAGUGCAAAGUUUUUUGGUUGAAGGGCAAUGUUUUUGGUAGUGCUUUACUUAGUGUUUAGGAUUGUUCAUAAUUACUUUUGUUUUUGUUCCUUUGUUCUUUUUUAGAUUUAGAUUUGUGUUAACUUUUUGCCAGAUCUAAGAUUAUAGUUAUCAAAUUUAUUAUUACCUUUUCAAUUUUCAUAGAUUCUUUUUUUCUGCCAUACCAUGCUAUCAUUACUUAAGGCUAUUGGUGUUGCUUUGUUGGAUUUGGCUUUUGGUGUUGUGGGAUAUGAUCAUAUUACCAUCUCUAACUGAUAUGGAGUGUAAUUGUGACAUCAAUUAAAACUAUAAUUUAUACAAUCUAGUUUUUGGAGAAUGUAAAAAGAUUGAGUUUAUAAGAAAUUGUGAAGUGGAUUCUUUUUAAUAAGGAAUUUGAUUACUUUAAAGAUAACUUUAAAGAUGAGUUAGAGAUUUCAUAGGGUCUUUUAAUUUAUCAUUUGAUCCUUUUUUUUUUCCUUAUAAUCUUCCCUAACCUUUUUCUUAUUUCUUAGCUUAAGCCACUUUCUCAUCUACAAUUUUGUUUUUUUCUUACAUAUCAAUAUGAUUUUCAUUCUCAGUUUGAUGUUAAGUUAAGUGUUUUUAUCUUCCUCAUACUAAUUUAUAUGUUAACCAUGUGUUUGAAGUUGAAAAUCUUACUUUUAUGUUAUUAGUAGAAUAGGUUCAAGGUAGUCUCACCUUCAGAAAAUUUAGGUUUAACAUGUCCAAAUCAUUACAUCACUUUUCAAUUGUCAUAAUUAGCUCAUAAACAUUGUCCAUUUAUGAGUUUCUUACUACUAAAAUGCAUAAAUAAAUUUAUAAACUAUGUCUAGUUUGUUAAUCUACUAAGAAAGAAAACCUCUUUAUCCUCACUAACUUGAGGCUUAAAAUGUUUUUCAAAACAAGUGAUAUGGUUGCAUUCUUUACCUCUAAUUUAAUCUUGUCAACUAAAAUAAAAAGAACGAUUGACUAGGAAAUUACCUUUUCCAGGUUUUACUAUGCUUUGAAAGUAGUGAUACACAAGGAGGAAGAAAUGUAUUUCAAUUGUAUAUAAAUGGGUAUAUAUAUAGAAACUAGUACCACAUGGGCAUAACUAUAUACCAUAUCAUCUUUAGUUGAAACACUUUUGCUCAUGAUCAAGUGGUUGAUUCAAAGCUGAAUCUAAAUUUAAAUCAUGCCUAGCACACACACUUUUGCUCACUAUUAUGGUUUCAAUCUUACCACUAGUAUAUGGUUUUGAUAGUGAACUGUUAGGCUCCCACUUUUAUUGCUACUAAGCACUUGAAUCUUCAUAAGCAUCUUUCCAAAUUGCUAGAAAUUCCUGUAAAGAACUAGUUCUUAAAUCUUGACCCAAUUCUUGAUGUGGAUUGUUAAAUCUCUUAAACUCACAUUAUGUAGUGUAUAUGGUUUUCACUUCAUACCCUAUAAUAAUUUACUGUAGAGCAAAAUUUAACCCUUGGACAUAUGUGUGAAAUGCAAUAAAGUAAAAUUUGAGUUUUAAAGCCUUGAGCCAUUUAAUGAAUGGAUAGAGCUAAAUUCCCAAUUAUAUAGCCAAUGAAUGAAAGAAUAUGAGCAUUGAAUAACUCCUAAGCUAAAUAAUAAAGGAACAAAAUUACAUAAAAUAGCAUUAAAAUAAUUCUAGAGUAUUCAAUAUCCAAAUGCCAAGACUAACACGCAAAAUAGAGCUAAACAACAGCUAAUGUUAUUGUAGCAUAACGUGAGGAUAUAUGUACUCUAUGAACUAUUAGUUUUGAGUUUGGGAUUAAAUCCAAGCUAGACAUAAAACAAUGACAAACACACUUAACAAAGAGUUAUAUAAUGUUUCAAAUUGGUCAUCCAUACCUAAUUUACUCAUUCGUACUAUACAUUUAAAAACUUUUUAUAAACCCCCGUUCAAAUGAAAACAUGUUUUGGGCUUUCACCCAAGUGUAAAUUAUAUAUUACUUUUGCCAAUUUAUCAAUUUACCUCAUCUAUCCAACCAUCUUUAUCUUGACUUUUACUAAAUUCCUUUACCAAGGUUCUUGUCUAUUGUGUUAACUCGGACUUGGUCCUACUUAAGUUCAACUAUUUACUACACAAAUAAUUGAGUGUUAACUAACUCUUCACAAGUUCCUAAAUUUUUCCUAUCCUCAUUCUUGAGUAAAAUUAUAUUUAAAGUUUGGCUAUACUCCCUUUAAGCAUAAGCAGCCAAACACAUUAAACCUCCAAGUUUCUAACAUCCUAUGAUACAUAAAACUUGUUCAUGGGACCUUUUAAAUCUUAAGCCUUAAAUAUAUCACUUAGCCUAAGACACUAAAGAGAAACACUAUGGCUUAAUGGCCUAGUAUGGGUAUCUCAACUCCCUACUUUCAUCCUGAAGGGAAGGCCCAAGCUUCUAAGAUGGGGUGAGGACCAAUGAGCCACAUAGUAUUCAAAUGGGGCAUCACUUUACUUGAGUUGAGAGUAUUGUAGUUGAUUUCCCUUCUGGGAAUAAGAGUUGCUUUUGAGCACUUUCUUGAAGAGCUUCUUUAACACUUUUUAAGUUUAUGCUCACUCCACCUAAGACUACCCACCUUUAAUUCUAACUUUAAUUUAAUUUGGAAGCACCACUAAAGAAUUCUUUCAAGACUAAAGUUUUAACAUCACUAUCUUUGCUAUACUUUUGAAACCCCCUACAACCCAUUAUCCUUACUAUAAUUUUGGAACCCUCUACAAUGCCCCCUUCAAAGUGCUUUUGCAAAUUCUUCAUACGCAUAAUCUAGAGUGGGCAACUAACCUAGAGAGACAAUAAAACUUCUCCAUUACACUCAAGUUUCAUUUGAUCUAUAACAAUAGUUAUACAUUUUUUCUGGUUUCGAGCUUGAUGAUCAAGAGGAAUAAAAAAUUCCAGAAGGACCAGCAGAAAUUUGUAGAGGUUUUCUCUCUUUCUUGCUUGAUGUGUUCAAUUUUUCUUAAUCUAGAGGCAAUUCCUCUAAUACAAGGUCUCAAUUUAUACAGUCAUAUAGAGUGUGUACAACUUAAGGGUUAUUUAUCCAGUUGCAAGUGAGAUGGGUUUGGCUUGUAUAGCUAUCCCACAGUGUAUAUUGUUAACAUGAGGGUUCAAGAAAAAAUGUCAAACUGCUUAAACCUAACCUGCUAUGGCCCCACCCUAUUGCUAUUUUUUUAUCACGUGUGAUUACAUUGUGUGAUGAUUUCCAUAUUUUUGUAGAAGAGAACUUUAGAAAUCUCAAUCUAUCAUAACCAGCUUUGGAGAGACUUUGAAUACUUUAAUGAAAUUGCAUAAAUUAAUAAUGUACAUCUUUAAACCCUUUAUAAUAUAUGUUUGGAAUAUAUGCCUUAAAACCAAAUAAAAGACCCAGUUUUUAUCUCAACUUUCAUAGAUAGGAAGAGUUCUCCACAAGAGGAUCAGUCACUAGUGACGUAGGCACUUGGAAAAUGCCGGGCGAACGUGCUCGAUGCCAUUAUCCAAUUGAUCUUCUGGGACCCGAGAUCUUGAACUUGUCCCCGCAAACCGCAUGUGGGCCAAGAGCUCGUAGCUAGCACACAUCACCGUGUGCCCUAUUGCUCAUUGGAAGCACAUUGGAAGAUAGUGCCUGAAUCGUCCAAGCACUGCACGGGGAUGCGCUCUUGUAAGACUGAAAGCGGUGUCCAAACCGCAUACAGGUGAAGGUCCUACAGCCCAUCUGGUGAGUUGAGCACGGCGGGGGUGAAUAGCAGCUAAAAAAUGGACGGGAAGUUUUUGGUUCUGGUCGUGGCCAUCGUUUUGCUAUGGCCUUCAUCUCCAGCAGAAUCGAAGGAUUGCUCCAGAUCUUCCAGAAUUCAGAAGAAGACUUACAAAUCUCCAGCUUUUUCUAUGGGGCCGGGAGAGGUCCAAAACCGAAACUACACGAUCGAGUUUCCCAAAGGUCAUAUCGGCGUCAAGAACUUCCAGGGAGAGAUUGUAGACGAGCUUGGGAAUCCCGUGCCUCUGAGCGAAGUCUAUUUGCAUCACUGGGUGGUAUUUGGCUUCCACCUGAAGAGCUCCGAGAGAAAAGAGCUGGUCAGAGGCGGCUUCCAUGAUCGUCUAGGGUCGUCAGCGGCUAUAAUCCCUGGAAACGAUGGAAUUUGUCAGCAAAACGUCCAUCCACAGUUCUGGGGUCUUGGUGCCGAGACGAGACACACGAGCUACUUUGUUCCAGGCUCCUAUGCUAUCGGCGUUGGCAACCCUCCAGAAGGCUACAAGGAGCUUUGGCUGCUCAACGUCCAUGCCAUCGACACGAGAGGAACAUAUGAUCCCCAAGGAUGCCUCGAGUGCCGCUGCAGCUUGUACAACGUAACAAUAGAUGCCUCUGGACAGCCUUUGAAGCAAGGUUACAAAGGCGGUUUGCAUUGCUGCUAUGAAGGGACCAAAUGUGCAAUGAAACUGGGAUUUCAAGCACCAAAGAAGACUCUUUACAUGCAAUACACCAUCGAAUGGGUGGAGUGGGACGAAUGUGUCCGGCCUGUUCGUGCUUAUAUAUUCGACAUCACAGACAGCAGGAAGCGGGAUCCAGUCGACCCUCAAGUUGGCUGCCAAGUUCGUUUUUCCUCAUUCUAAAAGUUUCUCUUAUGUUUCUUACGAUUGUCUUGCAGGCCGAGUAUGACGUUCCCGCUUGUGACCCGUCCUCAAAUUCCGAUUGUAUUUAUCAGCUGGAGAAUCACCUGGUGAUUCCAAAAGGGGGUAGCAUUAUCUAUGGAGUAGGACAUCAGCACGCUGCAGGCAUGGGCAUAAGCAUGCACGGAGAGGUAAGAAGAAGUAAAAAAAACUCUCAUGACGAUGCGGCUUUUCCAGGAUGGUCGGCACUUGUGCUCCUCGAUUCCUCUAUACGGGAAUGGAUCAGCUCCUGGCAACGAAGAUGGCUACGUUGUUGGAAUGUCUACAUGCAUUCCUAAGCCAGGGACUCUGAUGGUCGCGAGCGGUGAGAAGCUCCACUUCUCCUCAUCUUAUAGUUCUGCCCAGGAGCACACGGGUGUCAUGGGGAUCUUCUAUCUCAUGGUGAGCGACAAUGACACUGUGUCUCUAGGAGAAAUCAAGGUACGUUUUUUACUUGUUUGUUAGAUUGAGUGAUUGCUUUCCUCCGCUGCAGGACGUGAAAAAUAGAGUUAAUGUGAUGGUGGUCACGCUUGGAAUCGUUGUGGUGCUUGCACUAGUGGUCGGAUUUGGCAUCUGGAACAAGAAACCAGAGUCCCAUGAAAGAUACAGUGCAUUGCUCGUUUGAACUGGCCCGCUAUGAAAUAUCUAAUGAAUAUACUUUUUAUAUAAAAAGUGGGAGGCACAUUUUUGCAGGACAUUGUGCUUCUGACAGCCUAACUUAGAAAAGCUUUACUUACUAGCGGAAAUAAUCUUCUGGGCAACUUUGCAAAGAUCAUCCAAAGCACCAAAAUUCGCAAAUAAAUUUAUAAACCUUCACUAACCUGAGACUCGAUAUUCAUCAAAACAAGUGACACAGUUGUUAUUUUUUGCCUCCAAUUCAAUCUCGUCAAGUGGAAUGGAAAGCGCAAUCAAAGAAGAAAGUACCUUCUCCAGGUUCUGCCACUCACUUUUUCCUAUAAGAUUUACAAGCUCGCCUAUAAACUUGUGCUCCUAGAAGAUCACAGGCUAAAAAGCAACUAAGGAGAAGAAAAACUAAAAAAAAAUAGUACUGUCCUCAGUGUAGAUUUGCACAACUGGAAGAAAUCCUUUUCUAAAAAUUGCGACAUUGUGACCAGGAUGCAAGCGAGAAGGAAACCUUAUGGCACAAUGUCAUGUUGGCACCUACCAGCC